GAACCCCCUCACCCAUUCUUAGUUUAAAUUCUUCCUGCUGGGAGCCGAGAUGGUGCGGGAGCCAGGUGGAGUCUCAACCUCUCCCCUCAGUGACGGACUCAGAGGUGGCCAUGGGACUUGGGAGUUGGCUGAAACAACAGGGAAGGAAGUAGGGAUAUUGUCCAGGAGAUUAGCGACAAAGGUCAUAGAGAGAUGACCACAAUUCACAUGGCUGUCACCUGGGGAGAGAUCCCAAAGUAAGAUCAAGAGAAACAAAGGGGAAAAAAGGUGAAGACAACAAUGUAAUUCAUGCUUUGAGUCCUUGGACCAAGCACUUCCUAAAGCCAGAAUUCCUAAGUAUGGGAGUGAAAAUGUUGACUCAGGGCUGGGCAAGGUAGCUCAGCUUGUAAUCCUAACACUUUGGGAGGCUGAGGAGGAAGAAUUGCUUAAGGCCAGGAGUUUGAGACUAGCUUGGGCAACAUAGCAAGACCCCUGUCUCUUAAAAAAAAAGAUGACUCAGCUUGACAUGAUUUCUAAUGUUUUACUCCAAGACCCCACUAACAUGCCUGAAAAAGAUAAAAAAUACCAAACUUGGAGAACCUGAGGCAAAGAUGGUGCAGUGCACAAGGACAGGAGAUGAGAGCACGUGACAGGUGUCCUACGGGCAGCUCGGGCCUCAGGCUCCCUGGCGAUUCCCAUGCACAGCCCCCGGGGAGAAGAGCCUUGUUGAUGUUGAUCAGCAGGGAAGGAGGGACGGCUACGAGAGAGGCUGGAGGACAGUGGAGUUUGCAGCAGUCAUCGCACACCCUAGACUGCAGGAGCAGAAGCCACAUGUGGUGCUCCCAGUGUGCCCUUAUCCACACAGAGGAGCAGGGAUACUCCAUCCUCUUCUGGCCCUUUCCGUUGGAUUGAUGGAUGCUUCUCAGCACAUCAGCCUGAAUUCUCCUCCAACCUUCUCUGUUGCCAACGGCAAUUCCUCUUGAUUCAAUGGAGGUUGACCUCCUCCUGCAUAGCCCUUGCUCUGAUUCUAUGUUCUUUACCUAAAUUUCUGCGCUAAUCAUUCUUUUAAUCUAUUGAAAGUUUAAACAUCUUUAUGUUUCAGUUUAGGAUUCACCAUGAAAUCUAUCCUUGGCAUUCCAAGACAGAAUGGUCUUUUCCUUCUUCCAAAAAUCCUAAUGCUUCAUUAAACCACAUUUUAC
rnacentral:lncRNA from 1 species